ACGGGAGGCAGCAGUGGGGAAUAUUGCACAAUGGGGGAAACCCUGAUGCAGCGACGCCGCGUGGGUGAUGAAGUAUUUCGGUACGUAAAGCCCUAUCAGCAGGGAAGAUAAUGACGGUACCUGACUAAGAAGCUCCGGCUAAAUACGUGCCAGCAGCCGCGGUAAUACGUAUGGAGCAAGCGUUAUCCGGAUUUACUGGGUGUAAAGGGAGCGCAGGCGGUUUAGUAAGUUGGGUGUGAAAACCCGGGGCUCAACCUCGGGACUGCACCCAAAACUGCCAAACUAGAGUAUCGGAGGGGCAAGCGGAAUUCCUAGUGUAGCGGUGAAAUGCGUAGAUAUUAGGAGGAACACCAGUGGCGAAGGCGGCUUACUGGACUGUAACUGACGUUGAGGCUCGAAAGCGUGGGGAGCAAACAGGAUUAGAUACCCUGGUA
rnacentral:rRNA from 1 species